rnacentral:rRNA from 1 species
GACGAACGCUGGCGGCGUGCUUAACACAUGCAAGUCGAACGGAAAGGCCCUGCGUUUGUGGGGUGCUCGAGUGGCGAACGGGUGAGUAACACGUGAGUAACCUGCCCUUGACUUUGGGAUAACUUCUGGAAACUGGGGCUAAUACCGGAUAGGAGCUCCUGCUGCAUGGUGGGGGUUGGAAAGUUUCGGCGGUUGUGGAUGGACUCGCGGCUUAUCGGCUUGUUGGUGGGGUAGUGGCUUUCCAAGGCUUUGACGGGUAGCCGGCCUGAGAGGGUGACCGGCCACAUUGGGACUGAGAGACGCAGCAGACUCCUACGGGCGGCAGCAGUGGAGAAUCUUGCACAAUGGGCGGAAGUCUGAUGCAGCAACGCCGCGUGCGGGAUAACGGCCUUCGGGUUGUAAACCGCUUUCGCCUGUGACGAAGCGUGAGUGACGGUAAUGAGUAAAGAAGCACCGGCUAACUACGUG